rnacentral:rRNA from 1 species
ACUCCUACGGGAGGCAGCAGUGGGGAAUUUUGCGCAAUGGGGGAAACCCUGAUGCAGCGACGCCGCGUGAGCGAUGAAGCCCUUCGGGGUGUAAAGCUCUUUCGGCAGGGAAGAUGAUGACGGUACCUGCAGAAGCAGCUGCGGCUAACUACGUGCCAGCAGCCGCGGUAAUACGGGGGGUGCAAGCGUUACUCGGAAUUACUGGGCGUAAAGCGUGCGUAGGUGGUUCGUUAAGUCUGUAGUGAAAUCUCUGGGCUCAACUCAGAGUCUGCUAUAGAAACUGCCGUGCUCGAGUGUGGGAGAGGUGAGUGGAAUUCCCGGUGUAGCGGUGAAAUGCGUAGAUAUCAGGAGGAACACCGGUGGUGUAGACGGCUUUCUGGACCGUAACUGACGCUGAGACACGAAAGCGUGGGUAGCAAACAGGAUUAGAUACCCUGGUAGUCCACGCCCUAAACGAUGCAUAUUUGGUGUGGGCAGUUCAUUCUGUCCGUGCCGGAGCUAACGCGUUAAAUAUGCCGCCUGGGGAGUACAGUCGCAAGGCUGAAACUUAAAGGAAUUGACG